rnacentral:rRNA from 1 species
AGAGCGAACGCUGGCGGCAGGCUUAACACAUGCAAGUCGAGCGCCCCGCAAGGGGAGCGGCAGACGGGUGAGUAACGCGUGGGGACGUACCUUUUGGUUCGGAACAACACAGGGAAACUUGUGCUAAUACCGGAUAAGCCCUUACGGGGAAAGAUUUAUCGCCGAAAGAUCGGCCCGCGUCUGAUUAGCUAGUUGGUGAGGUAACGGCUCACCAAGGCGACGAUCAGUAGCUGGUCUGAGAGGAUGAUCAGCCACAUUGGGACUGAGACACGGCCCAAACUCCUACGGGAGGCAGCAGUGGGGAAUAUUGGACAAUGGGCGCAAGCCUGAUCCAGCCAUGCCGCGUGAGUGAUGAAGGCCCUAGGGUUGUAAAGCUCUUUUAACGGGGAAGAUAAUGACGGUACCCGUAGAAUAAGCCCCGGCUAACUUCGCGCCAGCAGCCGC